rnacentral:rRNA from 2 species
ACCUGACUGCUAUCGGAUUGAUACUAAGCCAUGCGAGUCAUUGUAGCAAUACAAGGCAUACGGCUCAGUAACGCGUAGUCAACCUAACCUAUGGACGGGAAUAACCUCGGGAAACUGAGAAUAAUGCCCGAUAGAACACUAUACCUGGAAUGGUUUGUGUUCCAAAUGAUUUAUCGCCAUAGGAUGGGACUGCGGCCUAUCAGUUUGUUGGUGAGGUAAUGGCCCACCAAGACUAUUACAGGUACGGGCUCUGAGAGGAGUAGCCCGGAGAUGGGUACUGAGACACGGACCCAGGCCCUAUGGGGCGCAGCAGGCGAGAAAACUUUGCAAUGUGCGAAAGCACGACAAGGUUAAUCCGAGUGAUUUGUGCUAAACGAAUCUUUUGUUAGUCCUAGAAACACUAACGAAUAAGGGGUGGGCAAGUUCUGGUGUCAGCCGCCGCGGUAAAACCAGCACCUCAAGUGGUCAGGAUGAUUAUUGGGCCUAAAGCAUCCGUAGCCGGCUCUGUAAGUUUUCGGUUAAAUCUGUACGCUCAACGUACAGGCUGCCGGGAAUACUGCAGAACUAGGGAGUGGGAGAGGUAGACGGUACUCGGUAGGAAGUGGUAAAAUGCUUUGAUCUAUCGAUGACCACCUGUGGCGAAGGCGGUCUACCAGAACACGUCCGACGGUGAGGGAUGAAAGCUGGGGGAGCAAACCGGAUUAGAUACCCGGGUAGUCCCAGCUGUAAACUAUGCAAACUCAGUGAUGCAUUGGCUUGUGGCCAAUGCAGUGCUGCAGGGAAGCCGUUAAGUUUGCCGCCUGGGAAGUACGUACGCAAGUAUGAAACUUAAAGGAAUUGGCGGGGGAGCACCACAAGGGGUGAAGCCUGCGGUUC